rnacentral:rRNA from 1 species
UUCCCAUCCCGAACACGGAAGUUAAGCUUUUCAGCGCCGAUGGUAGUAGGGGGCUUCCCCCUGUGAGAGUAGGUCGUCGCCGGGC